UGAUUUUGUUGCUUUGCAUAGCAUUUUUGCCUUCAGCCUGGACCAGGACUGUGAUCAUCAUAGACAUUAGCCGUGUUUCCACUAUCGGGCCAAAUGAGAGCAUGCUAAUGCGUGCCAGGACCAGUUGCAUUCCCACUGUCACUUCUGGGGCUUCAUUGUGCCUCCUCGGGGCUUUCUCAGGGCCAAUGGCCUUUGGCCUGCCGAUUACCUUUGGGCCAAACAAGUCCAACUGGGGACUGAGGCAGGGUCAAUGUCAAAGGUGGAGUUUUGCCAGGUUGAGUAUCCAGCACACAACGGUACAUAUUCUGGGAAAAUAUUAAAAUUGCGGGUACAGUACAAAUCCGUUAAAACACACAAUGGACAAAGCAAUGCCCAAAUGAAUGGUGUAGUGGGACAUCGUCCCACUGUUAGUAGAGAGACCACUCGGGACACCAGUUACAGUGGCAGUUACAGUUGGUGAGUUGUCAAUGCUAAGUUAUCUUGCUGUUUACAUUCUGUAGGAGAAGAAUGUUGACACAAAGUUUUAUGAGUUAGAAUGAGACUCUCGCAGAAGUUCACGCAAGGGUAGCGCUUGGGAGAGAGGGCGCGAGGGGAAGAUAAACAGAGGGGAAGCACAUGUGUGAUCCAGUGAAAUGGGUUUUAUAUGCCUAUCUGAAUGUUUAAUAAAACAUUGCAUUCACUCAGAAGCUGCAUUGUGUCCUGCAUUGACUGAGGUUCACAGCCGACUGGCAGAUAGCCUAGGACCCAUGAAAUCACGCUCUGUAAGAAUGGUCAGUGGAUCAACGCUAAGCUCACGCACUACCGCAGUAUGAGGAUAGCAGUUUUACACUGGUAGCAGCGGUGGUUGGCUAUAUAUAUUAUUGCUGGGACACUUGUUUGCAGUCGAAUGCUGUGCAUACCAUCACCAUAUCUUGCAAGCGCUGAGAAAUAACCGCUAUGAAUUCUCACGUGCAUCUCCACGUGCAAGUUGGAUUACGUGCAUUUUUUUUUCUCUUUCUUUUUUUUUUACUUACUCUCCCUCCCUCACACGAAAUGGUGGACGAUGAGAACGCAGCUGCAGGAGAGUCAUCACAAGCCAGAGAAAUUGUGAACCAUUUUGAUGUGUGUGCUUCACCACAAAAGGUGUGCGAAGAACAUACGAUCUUGGCAAUUCAUGUUUCUUAAGAACUGUUGCAGGCUUCCAGUUCUGAGAAGAAACCAAGUCAUGAGAAGUCAGUGCUCCAGAUGAAUCCCCUCCACUCAAACAGGCCAGACUGAAAGCUGUGCAUCAGUGCUCUGAGAGCGUCAGUCUGGGCAGACUGGCUUUUUUCCACUAUCUGGAGAGAGUGGAGUCCAUGUGCUGCUUCUGGAAGCUGAAGCACAUUGAGCUCGAGGGUAGACACACAUGUACACCAAAACAUCCCUCAGAUCAGGGUCCUUUGAGCCGAGGUCCUUUUUAGUCUGCCACCACUUUUGGUAGACACUAAAGCAAAAUUUUUGCUCAUGAAACCCUGUGUUUUUGGCAUUGCUUUAGUUCCCCCAAAACCUGGGUUAGUAAUAAAACAUGUAACACUGCUGCUAUCUAGUGGGAGGGUUCCAGCCCAUGUGAAUGAAUGUAGGCUCACAAAAUGACUUUUAAAACUGGUCUCUGUGUCUGUGCACAACCUUGAGCAAAUCACAAAUAGAGCAGUUUAGCAUACUUACAGUAAUUGCAUUUCAAGCCAUAUGUACAAAACCAUGUAUUCAUUAGUAACUGUGACAGGGAUCAACCUUAUGUUCAGGAUG